rnacentral:rRNA from 1 species
UACGAAGGGGGCUAGCGUUGCUCGGAUUGACUGGGCGUAAAGGGCGCGUAGGCGGCGGACACAGUCAGACGUGAAAUUCCUGGGCUCAACCUGGGGGCUGCGUUUGAUACAUGUCUGCUUGAGUUCGGAAGAGGGUCGUGGAAUUCCCAGUGUAGAGGUGAAAUUCGUAGAUAUUGGGAUGAACACCGGUGGCGAAGGCGGCGACCUGGUCCUUAACUGACGCUGAGGCGCGAAAGCGUGGGGAGCAAACAGG